GGGGCUGAAAUAGGUUCGACGGAAGGAUCCGCGGUCAACGUAAGCAGGCGGAGUUGCGAGCCCUCCUAAAACGAUCGCAAGCGUUAUACACGCGAACAAUCAAUACGCACUCGCUGCUUAAUUAAGUAGCGACGGAACGCGGAGAGUCGGCCCGAACCGCUCCGUAGUUCCGCCACAAAUUCGGGCUGGCACGCUUUCCUGACCCGAGGAGCGUGUAAGAUAAAGGGUCUGCAGCGAACGGCAAUCCGCGCUUUGAGGAGUACGUUCGAAUAAGAAAAAGUCGAAGCUGAGCCUGGAGAAAGCGUUGGUCGGGCUUUUCGGACUCGGGGGGCAGCACCCCGACAGCUCCACCA
rnacentral:tmRNA from 1 species